UCUGCCGAAACAGCUACGCAUAGAAUUGUAUCAUUGGAUAGCUUGUUAGCUUGGCUCAUUGCGUGUUUGCAUAGCCUUUGCAAUGGUACAGGAACAAGGUUCAACUGUCAUAGCGCGAGCUGACUAAAUUUAGGACGGCGAUACGUAUCGGAGUCCAUUGCAUAUGAAUGAAAGCAGAUAUUUGGAUUUAUCAUGUUACAUAUGUCGACAAGCAGGUCCCUAGUAAACGUCGUUAUUCAAUGGAACUGCCGUUUGCUUCGGCCGUGGCUCCAAUUCAGGCCAUACGCAUGCUCAAGUUAACAUGCACGCAUUCCUAAAAGCAAUAGCUGAUUCGUGCCGGAUUGGCUACUGCAGGAUUCAAACGCAAUGAGCACAUAUGGCCAGAUUUCGAUCCACUGGACCAUCUUGUACGGUAUGCGAUUGAGCGAGCGUUCAAGAAGUUGCCACAGGACAAGUUCGACCUUUUUAU